rnacentral:rRNA from 1 species
GUGGGGAAUCUUCCGCAAUGGACGAAAGUCUGACGGAGCAACGCCGCGUGAGUGAAGAAGGUUUUCGGAUCAUAAAGCUCUUUCGUUAGGGACGAACGUGCUCUUUGUGAAUAAUGAGGAGUAAUGACGGUACCUAAAUAAGAAGCCACGGCUAACUACGUGCCAGCAGCCGCGGUAAUACGUAGGUGGCAAGCGUUGUCCGGAAUUAUUGGGCGUAAAGCGCGCGCAGGCGGGAUAUCAAGUCUGUCUUAAAAGUGCGAGGCUCAACCUCGUGAGGGGACAGAAACUGGUAUUCUUGAGUGUCGGAGAGGAAAGUGGAAUUCCCCGUGUAGCGGUGAAAUGCGUAGAUAUGGGGAGGAACACCAGUGGCGAAGGCGGCUUUCUGGACGGUGUCUGACACUGAGGCGCGAAAGCUAGGGGAGCGAACGGGAUUAGAAACCCGGGUAGUCC